GAUGAACGCUAGCGGCAGGCUUAACACAUGCAAGUCGAGGGGCAGCGCGAUGUAGCAAUACAUUGGCGGCGACCGGCGCACGGGUGCGUAACACGUAUGGAACUUACCCUUUACUGGGAGAUAGCCCGGAGAAAUCCGGAUUAAUAUCCCAUAAUAAACGAGGUGGCAUCACUUUGUUUUGAAAGCUCCGGCGGUAAAGGAUGGCCAUGCGCACGAUUAGCUAGUAGGUGAGGUAACGGCUCACCUAGGCUACGAUCGUUAGGGGGCCUGAGAGGGUUAUCCCCCACACUGGUACUGAGACACGGACCAGACUCCUACGGGAGGCAGCAGUGAGGAAUAUUGCGCAAUGGAGGCAACUCUGACGCAGCCAUGCCGCGUGCAGGAAGAAGGCGCUACGCGUUGUAAACUGCUUUUAACCGGGAAGAAACCCCAGGACGUGUCCUGGGUUGACGGUACCGGAGGAAUAAGCACCGGCUAACUUCGUGCCAGCAGCCGCGGUAAAGUAGACGU
rnacentral:rRNA from 1 species